AGUGAACGCUGGCGGUAGGCCUAACACAUGCAAGUCGAACGGCAGCACAGUAAGAGCUUGCUCUUACGGGUGGCGAGUGGCGGACGGGUGAGGAAUACAUCGGAAUCUACUUUUUCGUGGGGGAUAACGUAGGGAAACUUACGCUAAUACCGCAUACGACCUACGGGUGAAAGCAGGGGAUCUUCGGACCUUGCGCGAUUGAAUGAGCCGAUGUCGGAUUAGCUAGUUGGCGGGGUAAAGGCCCACCAAGGCGACGAUCCGUAGCUGGUCUGAGAGGAUGAUCAGCCACACUGGAACUGAGACACGGUCCAGACUCCUACGGGAGGCGGCAGUGGGGAAUAUUGGACAAUGGGAGCAAGCCUGAUCCAGCCAUGCCGCGUGGGUGAAGAAGGCCUUCGGGUUGUAAAGCCCUUUUGUUGGGAAAGAAAAGCAGCAGGUUAAUACCCCGCUGUUCUGACGGUACCCAAAGAAUAAGCACCGGCUAACUUCGUG
rnacentral:rRNA from 1 species